GUUUCCGUAGUGUAGUGGUUAUCACGUGCGCCUCACACGCGCAAGGUCCCCGGUUCGAUCCCGGGCGGGAACA
rnacentral:tRNA from 1 species